rnacentral:sRNA from 1 species
CCUAACGCUCACUUCCAGGCUAUGGUUCACACGUCCGACUCAUGACCUGGGGGAACUCAAUUCUCGUCUGGAUGUCAUUCAGUUUUUUCUGCUGCCCCAGAAUCUGGACAUGGCUCAGAUGCUGCAUCGGCUCCUGGGUCACAUCAAGAACGUGCCUCUGAUUCUGAAACGCAUGAAGUUGUCCCACACCAAGGUCAGCGACUGGCAGGUUCUCUACAAGACUGUGUACAGUGCCCUGGGCCUGAGGGAUGCCUGCCGCUCCCUGCCGCAGUCCAUCCAGCUCUUUCGGGACAUUGCCCAAGAGUUCUCUGAUGACCUGCACCAUAUCGCCAGCCUCAUUGGGAAAGUAGUGGACUUUGAGGGCAGCCUUGCUGAAAAUCGCUUCACAGUCCUCCCCAACAUAGAUCCUGAAAUUGAUGAGAAAAAGCGAAGACUGAUGGGACUUCCCAAUUUCCUUACUGAGGUUGCCCGCAAGGAACUGGAGAAUCUGGACUCCCGUAUUCCUUCAUGCAGUGUCAUCUACAUCCCUCUGAUCGGCUUCCUUCUUUCUAUUCCCCGCCUGCCUUCCAUGGUAGAGGCCAGUGACUUUGAGAUUAAUGGACUGGACUUCAUGUUUCUCUCAGAGGAGAAGCUGCACUAUCGUAGUGCCCGAACCAAGGAGCUGGAUGCAUUGCUGGGGGACCUGCACUG